CCUACGGGUGGCAGCAGUCGAGAAUCAUUCACAAUGGGGGAAACCCUGAUGGUGCGACGCCGCGUGGGGGCAUGAAGGCCUUCGGAUUGUAAACCCCUGUCAUGUGGGAGCAAAUUAAAAAGAUAGUACCACAAGAGGUAGAGAUGGCUAACUCGGUGCCAGCAGCCGCGGUAAUACAGAGGUCUCAAGCGUUGUUCGGAAUCACUGGGCGUAAAGCGUGCGUUGGCGGUUUCGUAAGUCGGGUGUGAAAGGCGCGGGCUCAAUCGGCGAAGGGCACAUGAUACUGCGAGACUAGAGUACUGGAGAGGGAGGCGGAAUUCUCGGUGUAGCGGUGAAAUGCGUAGAUAUCGCGAGGAACACUCGUGGCGAAGGCGGGUUACUGGACAUUGACUGACGCUGAGGCACGAAGGCGAGGGGAGCGAAAAGGAUUAGAUACCCCAGUAGUC
rnacentral:rRNA from 1 species